rnacentral:rRNA from 1 species
GUCUGUGCGUGUUAGAUGCAAAGUCUAACCUGCCCACUGAGUUAUUAAAGGGCCGCGGUAUCUUGACCGUGCGAAGGUAGCAUAAUCAGUAGUCCUUUAAUUGAGGGCUUGAAUGAAUGGUUGAAUGAGAUGUAAGCUGUCUUUAAUUUAUUAUAGAAGUUAACUUUUAAGUGAAAAGGCUUAAAUUUAGUGGUGGGACGAUAAGACCCUAUAAAACUUUAUAGGAAGGAGGUUAGCUUAAGAAUUUAAUUAAAUUGGGCUAGUCAGCUUGGUAUUUUGUUGGGGAGACAGAGAUAUAAUAGUAACUGUCUAUAGAAUUCAAUACGUAUAGGUAGAACAUGAUCCACUAAUUGGUGAUUAUAAGAUCAAGUUACUUUAGGGAUAACAGCGUAAUUUUUCUUGAGAGUUCUUAUCGACAGAAGUAGUUGCGACCUCGAUGUUGAAUUAAAAUUUUAAUUAGGUGUAGCAGCUUAAUUGGUAGGUCUGUUCGACCUUUAAAAUUUU